rnacentral:rRNA from 1 species
AUUGAACGCUGGCGGCAGGCCUAACACAUGCAAGUCGAGCGAGCGGCGGACGGGUGAGUAAUGUCUGGGAAACUGCCCGAGGGAGGGGGAUAACUACUGGAAACGGGGGCUAAUAACGCAUACCAUCAGAUGUGCCCCGAUGGGAUUAGCGAGUAGGUGGGGUAAUGGCUCACCUGGGCGACGAUCCCUAGCUGGUCUGAGAGGAUGACCAGCCACACUGGAACGGAGACACGGUCCAGACUCCUACGGGAGGCAGCAGUGGGGAAUAUUGCACAAUGGGCGCAAGCCUGAUGCAGCCAUGCCGCGUGUGUGAAGAAGGCCUUCGGGUUGUAAAGCACUUUCAGCGGGGAGGCGUUACCCGCAGAAGAAGCACCGGCUAACUCCGUGCCAGCAGCCGCGGUAAUUC